GUCGAGAGGGCGACUAAUACAAUACCUUCGGGGAAUACGUCCACCCUUAACCGCUUAGGAGGGUUCUGAACCUCUCGACUCCACUGU
rnacentral:ncRNA from 1 species